AAGAAAUUAGUUAAUAUAUAACAUUAGUAUGUCAUACUAAAAUAAUUAAAAUAAUUUAAUAUUUCUUU
rnacentral:tRNA from 1 species